UACGUAGGUGGCAAGCGUUGUCCGGAAUUAUUGGGCGUAAAGCGCGCGCAGGCGGUUUCUUAAGUCUGAUGUGAAAGCCCCCGGCUCAACCGGGGAGGGUCAUUGGAAACUGGGAAACUUGAGUGCAGAGGAGGAAAGUGGAAUUCCAAGUGUAGCGGUGAAAUGCGUAGAGAUUUGGAGGAACACCAGUGGCGAAGGCGACUUUCUGGUCUGUAACUGACGCUGAGGCGCGAAAGCGUGGGGAGCAAACAGG
rnacentral:rRNA from 1 species